UACGUAGGGGCCUAGCGGUUGUCCGGACUUUAUUGGGCGUAAAGAGCUCGUAGGCGGUUUGGUGAGUCGGGUGUGAAAUCUCCACGACUCAACGUGGAGGGGCCACCCGAUACUGCCAUGACUAGAGUCCGGUAGGGGAGUGUGGGAAUUCCCGGUGUAGCGGUGAAAUGCGCAGAUAUCGGGAGGAACACCAGUAGCGGAAGGCGACACUCUGGGCCGGUACUGACGCUGAGGAGCGAAAGCGUGGGGAGCAAACAGG
rnacentral:rRNA from 1 species